rnacentral:rRNA from 1 species
GACGAACGCUGGCGGCGUGCUUAACACAUGCAAGUCGAACGAAGUGGCGAACGGGUGAGUAACGCGUAAUCAACCUGCCCUUCAGAGGGGGACAACAGUUGGACACGACUGCUAAUACCGCAUACUGAAGGUGGGGCUUGGGUCUGCUUAGCUAGUUGGAGGGGUAACGGCCCACCAAGGCGAUGAUCAGUAGGCGGUCUGGGAGGGUGAACGGGCACAUUGGGACCGGGACACGGCCCAGACUCCUACGGGAGGCAGCAAUGGGGAAUCUUCCGGAAUGGACGAAAGUCUGACGGAGCAACGCCGCGGGAGUGAUGACGGCUUUCGGGUUGUAAAGCUCUGUUAAUCGGGACGCGGUACCGGAAUAGAAAGCCACGGCUAACUACGUGCCAGCAGCCGCGGUAAUUC